GCUGUCUCGUAGUUCAGAUCUGUGACUACCUUCAGAAAACGCACUGUUAGCGAAACCGUGUGUUCUUCGCAAGUGAAAAGAGGAGAGGACAAGGGAGAUUGUUCAGCCCACAUUAGGGCUACUGUGGACCUGCAUCAAUGCUGAUUGGACGGAUACUCAACUAGGAUGUCGAAACAACCUAAUGUGGGCCAGAUAUGUUGGAGUGUGUCGCAGCCAAGCUAACUAUGUUUUACAAGGAAAGGAAGACAUAGAAGAUCAAUAAGAUCACUGACGAUGGACAAUGGGGAUACCUGCAGUCUGAAGAACAAUAAAAAGAUG